CACGGUUGGUGGCGCACUUCCUGAUUUCGGGCAGUGUCUUACGUCUGCAAUUUGCAACCAGAUACCCGGCCCGCCUAAUGAGCGGGCUUUUUUUG
rfam:Escherichia coli ISC11, WGS project CBWP01000000 data, contig: c13